AUUGAACGCUGGCGGCAGGCUUAACACAUGCAAGUCGAACGAGUGGCGGACGGGUGAGUAAUGCUUGGGGAUCUGCCCGAUAGAGGGGGAUAACUACUGGAAACGGUGGCUAAUACCGCAUACUAUCGGAUGAACCCAUAUGGGAUGAGCUAGUAGGUGGGGUAAAGGCUCACCUAGGCGACGAUCUCUAGCUGGUCUGAGAGGAUGAUCAGCAACACUGGGACUGAGACACGGCCCAGACUCCUACGGGAGGCAGAAGUGGGGAAUAUUGCACAAUGGGCGAAAGCCUGAUGCAGCCAGGCCGCGUGUAGGAAGAAGGCCUUAGGGUUGUAAAGUACUUUCAGCGGGGAGGCGUUACCCGCAGAAGAAGCACCGGCUAACUCCGUGCCAGCAGCCGCGGUAAUAC
rnacentral:rRNA from 1 species